CAGUAGCCGCGGUAAUACGAAGGGUGCAAGCGUUAAUCGGAAUUACUGGGCGUAAAGGGUGCGUAGGCGGUUGUUUAAGUCCGUUGUGAAAGCCCUGGGCUCAACCUGGGAAUUGCAGUGGAUACUGGGUCACUAGAGUGUGGUAGAGGAUAGUGGAAUUUCCGGUGUAGCAGUGAAAUGCGUAGAGAUCGGAAGGAACAUCUGUGGCGAAGGCGGCCAUCUGGGACAACACUGACGCUGAAGCACGAAAGCGUGGGGAGCAAACAGGAUUAGAUACCCCUGUAGUCCCUGUCUCUUAUAC
rnacentral:rRNA from 1 species